rnacentral:rRNA from 1 species
UACGUAGGGGGCAAGCGUUGUCCGGAUUUAUUGGGCGUAAAGAGCGUGUAGGCGGCUGGGUAGGUCCGUUGUGAAAACUCGAGGCUCAACCUCGAGACGUCGGCGGAAACCAUCUGGCUAGAGUCCGGAAGAGGAGAGUGGAAUUCCUGGUGUAGCGGUGAAAUGCGCAGAUAUCAGGAGGAACACCGGUGGCGAAGGCGGCAUCCUGGACCGAGAUUGACGCUGAGGCGCGAAAGCCAGGGGAGCAAACGGG